AGUUCUGCAUAAUGGCUAAGCAUUUUGAGCGCCAGGGAAAAUCUCCAUACGUUUACCACUCUCAAUACAUGGCUCACCUUCUUUCUCAAGGCCAACUCGAUGGAAGUGGCUAGUGGCGUCCAAUUAUUUUUAAUCAACUCUUUUUUCCUUAGUUUUGUAUCUAAUUUUGUUGUAACAAAAUUAAACCUCGGUAUCUGGAGCACUUGUAAUGUGGUGGUAUAAAACCCGGAGAAUGAACUGUUCUGAUCCGUGCUAAGAAAAAUAAGAGCACAAAAUGCCUGUAAAGGCAGUUUUACACGA